AAAGCAAUGAGAAACAUCUAUUUUUAAUCUAUAAAAUAAAAUCAAACAGACCUAUAAAAAUCCAAUUGCACGUGUUGGUUUAAUCUAUUCAUAUCUUUAUUUAUGUUUACAUCGCUUAUAUGGUCAUCUGAGGUCAAAUCGAUAGUUAAUUAAAUGGUGUCUGGACUAAAAUACACACGAAACGAACCUAUAUAUUAUCUACCCC
rnacentral:lncRNA from 1 species